CUCUACUAUCCAAUAACCCUCAUGAUUUAAUUUAUAGGUUUGUUUCUGUCACUUUCCCAAAUAAAAAUAAAACUUACAUAAUUAAUACAACUGAUAAAGAACGGUCUACGAGAUGUUGCUGUAAACACUAUGCCAAUAUGUGAUGUUUAGGGAAUUGUCUUGUCAAUGUUAAUUAUAAUUGUGCAAUACAAAUGAAGUUUAUAAUAUAGUUUUAAUUUCUUUCAACUAAACUACUUUUUAUGCAAGAUACCAGCAUAUUAAAUCUAAAAAUUUAAAUAGGUCCACUCCACCCAUUACAAUAUUAA